UAGGGAAUCUUCCGCAAUGGACGAAAGUCUGACGGAGCAACGCCGCGUGAGCGAAGAAGGCCUUCGGGUCGUAAAGCUCUGUUGUUAGGGAAGAACAAGUACGAGAGUAACUGCUUGUACCUUGACGGUACCUAACCAGAAAGCCACGGCUAACUACGUGCCAGCAGCCGCGGUAAUACGUAGGUGGCAAGCGUUGUCCGGAAUUAUUGGGCGUAAAGCGCGCGCAGGCGGUCCUUUAAGUCUGAUGUGAAAGCCCACGGCUCAACCGUGGAGGGUCAUUGGAAACUGGGGGACUUGAGUGCAGAAGAGGAGAGUGGAAUUCCACGUGUAGCGGUGAAAUGCGUAGAGAUGUGGAGGAACACCAGUGGCGAAGGCGACUCUCUGGUCUGUAACUGACGCUGAGGCGCGAAAGCGUGGGGAGCAAACAGGAUUAGAUACCCUGGUAGUCCACGCCGUAAACGAUGAGUGCUAAGUGUUAGAGGGUUUCCGCCUUUAGUGC
rnacentral:rRNA from 1 species